ensembl:lncRNA
GUGGUGUGUGUAGGGAGGUGGUGAGUGUAGGGAGGUGGUGAGUGGUGAGUGUAGAGAUGUGGUGAGUGUAGGGAGGUGGUGAGUGGUGAGUGUAGAGAGGUGGUGAGUGUAGGGAGGUGGUGAGUGGUGAGUGUAGGGAGGUGGUGAGUGUAGGGAGGUGGUGAGUGGUGUGUGUAGGGAGGUGGUGAGUGGUGGGUGUAGGGAGGUGGUGAGUGGUGAGUAUAGGGAGGUGGUGAGUGUAGGGAGGUGGUGAGUGGUGAGUGUAGAGAGGUGGUGAGUGUAGGGAGGUGGUGAGUGGUGAGUGUAGGGAGGUGGUGAGUGGUGAGUGUAGGGAGGUGGUGAGUGGUGAAUGUAGGGAGGUGGUGAGUGUAGGGAGAUGGUGAGUGGUGGUGAGUGGUGAAUGUAGGGAGGUGGUGAGUGUAGGGAGAUGGUGAGUGUAGGGAGAUGGUGAGUGUAGGGAGGUGGUGAGUGUAGGGAGGUGGUGAGUGUAGGGAGGUGGUGAGUGGUGAGUGUAGAGAGGUGGUGAGUGUAGGGAGGUGGUGAGCAUUUCAAAUGCUCUUGGCUUCGGCUGAUAAGAAAGCGGCAGGACUCUAAACUGACCUGUUUUUACAAGGAGCACCUGUGCGCUUAACAAAGGAAUAUAGAAAAAAUAUUUGCGGUAACAAG